rnacentral:lncRNA from 1 species
UUAGGCAUUGAAUAUUUGAGAGCACACCAUCCCUUUGUUAGAAUUUUAUCAUUAUUCUGUUCAAUUUUUAUAAUUUAUAUUAAAAAUAUUCUUCAAAAUGACAGAAACAUAUUAAUAAUUUAUUUUUUUCUUAUAUAAAAAAUAAAGAUAUUUUGAUUAUUUUGCACUUUCCAUUAAUAUGGUAUCUCUCUUAAAAUAUUUCUGAAAUUUUAAGAGGGCAAAAUAUAAGUUUUUGAUAGUCAGAAAGAAAAAGUAAAAAAAAAAGAGUAUUUUUAGGGGGGUUCUGUAAUUUGGCCUUUAAAAAGUUUUGAAAGAAAACAAAA